CCAAUUUUAUUAACUGAAAUUUUCAAAUUAUUACAUCACACAACGAAGAGCAAACUUAUCAACUCUUUUUGGCAGCCAAUAAUAUGGACUAAGGGACUUCAACACUCAUAGGUGCAAUAACAACCAACUUUAUUAGGAUCACCUUUGGCACUGCAUUCAUAUCCGUCUGCUUUCUCUUGCCCGUAUUUACUAAAACACUUGGCACGGCAAUCAUCUAAUGUACAUCCGCUAUCAUACAAUUGAGUUUUGCAUAACUUCUGCGCAUACACUUGACGGACAUUUUCCUUCAACACAACUACAAAAUUUACAACUUAAACAAGUGAAUAAACAAAAUGGAUAAUACUUGCAUCCUCCACAUGUCUCAUGUUUUGCAAAUAACGUAUCUUGAUCGAAUAAAAUCAACUAUUGGAAUCGUUCAAUUUAUCAAUAUUCAUUUGAAAACAAAUUCUACAAAAAAUUAUUCAAAUUGCAGAUCAUUUUAUCAUCCAAAUGUAUCCAGUAAAUGGAUGAUUGAUCAUAAGCAUAUUAUUUGGUAUAUAAACUGUCGUUUGUUCUAUACAUUUAAAUGACUAAGUAAUAUUCGAUUGAAAUGAUUUUUUUUGUAGAGAUGAUCUUCAAAUGAAGAUACAACGACUUAAAGACAAGUGUUUUGCCACUUUACGUUUUCAUUUUAAAUUGAAAAGGUGGUAUGUCCACAUACACUGUAAACAUGUAAAAAUCUAAAAUCUUUCGUAUAGUUCUUACCACAAAGAUAAACAAAUAAAAAACUGGAAAAAUAGUGGCAAAGGAAAAAGAAAACAAACCUGUGGCAAGAAGAACAAGUAAGAAGAAAUGAAAUAAAGAAAGCCUAGACAUCUCUACAACUCUCUGUGGUAAAUACUGCUAAUAUCUCGG
rnacentral:lncRNA from 1 species